GUGCAGUUCCAGGCAAGAUGGGCCAUGUCUGCAAAUGACCACAUUGUAGAAACAUAGAUUUAGCAGCUUCUGCCCUGGGUGCAAGGCAUGGAGGUACAAUAGAAAGAAGCAGAAGACUUUGGUUUGUAUCCUGGUUCUGGCUGUAACUUGUAGGUCACACCUUAAGGUCAUUUCAUUCCUCUGUUCUUGGGUGUCCUUGCCUGUCGAAUGCUGGGGCUGGACUAAAUAAACUAUGAAAAUCCGAAUUUUACAAACAUAUAUCCACCCAAAGUACUUGAAGAAAAAUGAAGCAUUUUGCACUGAACAGAGCUUGGCAAUUUUCUCCAAAGGCAAUAGAAAUGCAUCUGACUAAAUGGUGAAGGAGAUGAUCAUAAGCUCUUUUCCUAUAAGAAUCCUGGCAAUUUUCACACUCUCGGAGGGACUUUCCCAUCAAUUUUGAUUCCCAUGAUUUCACACUCAUGGAAAUUUCCUCAGAGAAGCAGUUUCUUUGGCAACUUCAUGCUCAUGAUCAUCAUAGCAUCAAUAGGAGUGACGCAGACAUGUCAGCAGGAGAAUAGGCCUCUUCUGAGCAGUGGGAAAAGGCGCUGUCUCCUUUUGUUACCAAAAAAAUAAAUACACAAGACACAAAAGAUUUUUACCACACUUGUCACAUACAGUGAAAUAAGCGGAAGAUAAAGCUAAAAUAAUCUCCAUAAAACAAAGGCUUUGUGUGUGUUUCAAAGACAUUUUAUGUUGCAUAACAUGGAAUUAACUCUAGCUCUUUGAGCAUUACAUAUAUAUAUGAGCAUUACAUAUAUAUAUAUAAUGCUCAUAUAUGAGCAUUAUAUAUAUAUAUGUGUGUGCGUGUGUGUAUAAUGCUCAAAGAGCUGGAGCUAAUAUAUUCUGAAAUGCAAGUAUAUUGAAUUCUUCCUUAUGCUUCCCCUCCCAGGAAAACAGGAUGCCACUUAAAAAAAAAAAAAGACUGAAAAGAAACAUUGUUUGGGGAGAGCUUAUCUAUAAACAAUGAGUUGUCCUCAACAAUAAACAGUUCCACCAAGUGGUACCCGUGGUCACAUUCACUAUGCCUUGGUUUGGUAUAUGUUGUACUAAAAUCUUGACUUAGCUUUGAUUUACUAUUGUCUGUUUAGUUGCAUGUUCUUCUGAUUGUGGUCCGUGGAUCAGCAGCAACAGCAUCAUCUGGGAGUUGGUUGAAACACAGAAUCUCUAGCCCUACCCAGGCCUAUUGCAGCAGAAUCUGCCUUGUAAAAAGACCCCCAAGUGAUUUUUACAUUAUUACCAGAAAUAGACUGCUCUACUCUACAACACCCCCUCUAUCAGAGAUAAUGUUCAAAAGUGGUUUGAUUAUUUUGAAAUGGCAUUUUCCUUUCUGGGGAAAAAACUAUAGAAAUCAUUGGCUACAUCGGUCAAAAAUGGCACUAGUACUCCAGUGACAGAGAACAAUGAAAUGUAGCAUGCUAUCAUUAGUGUAAGAAAAUGCCAACAGACACCUGUGAUCAAUGAGGCUUGCAUUUGUGGUAAUUUUGGGACUCCUCCAUCCACAUUCUCUUGACCCAGGCUUCCUAUGACCAAAUGUUCACUUUUGCAAGAUGGCUGAGGUUAAGAGUGCAAUCUGGCCACAGAAAGGAGAAAAGCUUGCUGACCCAUGCUGACCUCUGACCUUGACCUCAUUAGCUAACCAAAUGAGCUAACCAGCCAUGGACAUCAGAGAGCAUUAUGUGUUGAUUGAGCCGAAGCAUAAGAAGGACCAGUAAAAGAUCAGUCAUAAAGACAUUUCUACCUUGAUCACCUAUACUUAUUAAAAUGAUAUGAGGAGCACAUAUGCGAUUUCUUUUCUAUCUUCCUGCAUUUUUCACCAUUGUACAGCAGGACUUGAAGACAACAAAAGGUUCUUUUCUUUCAUAGCUCUCUACUCUUUUCCUUCAAAGUAAUUAAAUUGUAAUUAUAAAUUUAU
rnacentral:lncRNA from 10 species